GGGGCAAUAGCCGCAGGCUCAGCCCGUAAACAGACACCAUGGCGGCGGGUUCCGCCGUUCCUUGGUGGCCGCUUUCUGUGCGCGGCUCGAGCCCGGGUGGAGGCUGCCGGGCUCCUGGACGAGUCCGGGCGCGAUGUGGGCCCGGCGCUGUGUGCCUGCGGCUGGGGGUUGGCGGCUACCCGGGGUAGCUACAGCCCUGAGGUGAAGACCGCAGACGAGCUGCGGGUGCGGCAUCUGGAGGAGAUCCGAAGUGAGGGGCGCGGCGCUGGCGGCCGCCGGUCCUAGGAAGGGGUCGCGAGGUCGAGUGUCGGGCUGCCGUCAGUGUCCGCCGGGCUGCCCGGUGGAGGCCUGUCCCCUCCCCCAGCCGCCUCGCGCCUCUUCAGCGCUUCCUGUGCCUAAAGGGGUGCUACGGGGCAGCCCGCCUGCCUGCCGGUGCGGCCUCACUCAGCGCCAGGGACAGAAAUGCCUUUGCGCCCUCACCUCUAGACGGCCAAGGUCAACACAAGAUAAAGUUCAUUCCAGAAAUGGUUGGUCCAGUAUUAGAAAUGACACUGAUACCUGAGACGGAGCUGCACAAAGCUACCCUCCCCAUCUUCUUUGAUCUGAUGCAGUGCGAAUUCCACUUGACCUGAAGCUUCCAGAUGGGAAGGACAUAGGUGUGCGUUUGCAAAUGAGAUCAUCACCAAGCUGGAUCAUGAAGUGGAAGGAGGCAGAGGACAUGAGCAGUACAAGGUGUUAUUUGAUAAAAU